GCUCUUUUAGCUUAAUUUAAAAGCACAAUAUUGAAAAUAUUUAGAUAUCGAGAGAUUCAGAGCA
rnacentral:tRNA from 1 species